rnacentral:rRNA from 1 species
AUUGAACGCCGGCGGCAGGCUUAACACAUGCAAGUCGAGCGGAGAUGAGGUGCUUGCACCUUAUCUUAGCGGCGGACGGGUGAGUAAUGCUUAGGAAUCUGCCUAUUAGUGGGGGACAACAUUCCGAAAGGAAUGCUAAUACCGCAUACGUCCUACGGGAGAAAGCAGGGGAUCUUCGGACCUUGCGCUAAUAGAUGAGCCUAAGUCGGAUUAGCUAGUUGGUGGGGUAAAGGCCUACCAAGGCGACGAUCUGUAGCGGGUCUGAGAGGAUGAUCCGCCACACUGGGACUGAGACACGGCCCAGACUCCUACGGGAGGCAGCAGUGGGGAAUAUUGGACAAUGGGGGGAACCCUGAUCCAGCCAUGCCGCGUGUGUGAAGAAGGCCUUAUGGUUGUAAAGCACUUUAAGCGAGGAGGAGGCUACUGAGACUAAUACUCUUGGAUAGUGGACGUUACUCGCAGAAUAAGCACCGGCUAACUCUGUGCCAGCCGCCGCAGUAAAAC